rnacentral:rRNA from 1 species
GAUGAACGCUGGCGGCGUGCCUAAUACAUGCAAGUCGAGCGAACAGACGAGGAGCUGGCUCCUCCGACGUUAGCGGCGGACGGGUGCGUAACAUGUGGUUAACCUACCUAUACGAAUGGGAUAAUUUUGGCAAAUCGGGGCUAAUACCGGAUAAUAUAUUGAAUUUGGUGGUUCAAUAGUUAAAUACGGUUUUUGUGUCGCUAAAAGAUGGACAAGCGGCUGAUUAGUUAGUUGGUUAGGUAACUGCUUACCAAGGCAACGAUUGGUAGCCGACCUCAGAGCGAGGACCGCCACCUUGGAACUGAGACACAGUCCAGACACCGGGAGGGGGCCGCAGUACGGAAUCUUCCGCGAUGGAGGAGUGCUUAAUGGUGCAACGCCGCGUAAGUGCUGAUCGUCUACGGAUCGUUGAGUGCUGUUAUUAGUAAAGUUCAAAUGUGUAAUUAACUAUGAACAUCUUGACAGUACCGAAUCAAAAAGCCCCGGCUAACUACGUG